rnacentral:tRNA from 1 species
GGACCCGUAGCUCAGCUGGAUAGAGCGUUGCCCUCCGAAGGCAAAGGUCGUUGGUUCGAAUCCAAUCGGGUCCGCCA